CCCGCAAAAAUUCAAUUUGGCUCCGCUGAUUAGACUUGGUUGAAGAUAUGGUUGCCUGAUGGAACGUCCCCAAUCCCUAAAUGUGGUGUCUUAGUAGAUAAUAAUCUAAAAGUGGUUGAUCUUAUAAAACCUCGAGGUGUUUUUGGAGAAAUAAAAAUUGGCUUGAAAAGUGAUGUUCUGCAUCCCCGAAGAAAAUUACUAAAGACACCCCAACUUUGGAUAAGGGAACCCCCAGAAGUGUGUUGAAGACCCCCAGAUAAGUUAUAAAUGUAUCCCCAAAAGUACU